rnacentral:rRNA from 1 species
ACACAGAGAGAGUCUAUCACACAGAUAUACACGCGCGAUAUAUUGGAACGUGUAGGCCCCGCACAAGCAACGGGAGCGUGUGGUUUAAUGCGACGCAACACGAAGAACCCUUGACCUGGGCUUGACAUGACGCUGCACGCCGUCCGAAAGACGGCCGCCUGCGAGGGUGCGUCACAAGGUGCUGAAUGGCUGCCGUCAGCGCGUGUCGUGAGAUGUUGGGUUCAGUCCCGCAACGAGCGCAACCCGCGUCGGUAGUUACUCGUUGUCUACCGAGACUGCCCCGUGACCGGCGGAGGAAGGCGCGGAUGACGUCAAGUCAGCAUGGCCCUUACGUCCAGGGCGACACACACGCUACAAUGGCCACGACAAUGCGUUGCCAAGCGCAAGCGGAGCUAAUCGCUUAAGCGUGGUCACAGUGCAGAUUCGGGGGCUGCAACUCGCGCCCGUGAAGGCGGAGUUGCUAGUAACCGCGUAAGGGCG